AAGAGAGGAUUAAAAAAACGACACGUUGUUCACCGUGUUAUAACAAAGACGGCACGUUUCUGGGGUACGUGCUUCGUCUUCCUAGAGAGAGAUUCAGAAUCAUCAGAUCACCGAGUUUCGCACUUGAAUCCUGCUUCCAGGAUUUUGAUUAUAUGAACUUUGUGGAGGAUUUUGGAAAAGAGAAAUGGAUUGGAAAGGGCAAAAACUAGCGGAAGAGCUGAUGCAAAUUCUGCUCAUAGCCUUUGGCGUUGUUGCUUUCGUUGCUGGAUAUGUAACGUCUUCGUUUGGGACAAUGAUGAUGAUCUAUGCUGGAGUUGUGCUUUUUACAGCUAUGUUCACUGUCCCUAAUUGGCCUUUUUUCAAUCGUCAUCCCCUAAGUGGUUAGAUCCAAUUGAAGCAGAGAAGUAUCCUAAACCUGAACUGACGAGCUGAGUCUUGGAAGAAGAGAAAGAAUAAGCAUUGUUAGGUUUGAUUCUUUGAGAGCUUCUCUGUUUUGGAGUUCAAGAUUGUUUGAUAUGGUUAUGGUCUCUGAAUUCUCAAUCUUUACCUUGAUAGACCUUUUUUUAAUGUAAUGAGAUGAGCUAUUCUAAAUUGCAAACGUUUUGGUGAUCAAAGAUAUGUUAAUCUUUCUAUGUUCAUUA